AGAUGUAUAGAAAGACUAUGAAAGGAAUGAAUUAAUACCAAGUUGGUUGCGAUAUAACUUGACGGGAUCAAUGAUAUUCUUUUCUUAGAGUGGAUUAAAUUUAUUUGAUUAGGUUAAGAUUAUUUUCUGUAUUAAUUUUUUAUUUAUUUAGAGAAGACCAAUAAUUUGUACCAAAAAAAAAGAGAAGACCAAGAGGAGGAAGAGAAUUGUUCAAAAAAAAAAAAGGAGGAAAAUAGUACAAUUAUUUUAAGACAUUUAUACGGG
rnacentral:lncRNA from 1 species